UCGCGUAAGGGAUUGUGGCGGCAUCCUUUAUUUUUUUUCUUUAAAAAAAUAAAGAUACAGCCAAAAGCCCGACCCCAA
rnacentral:sRNA from 1 species